GGGUUGUUCGUGCAGCGAGUCGUGGAGGCUUGGACUCUUCCAAGGUCGAGUACGGCAUGGACGAGGAAUACGCGAAGAUUGCCCGAGAGCGCCCGACGUUUGCCGUAUACGCCCUCAUCAACAACGUCGCGUGCGAAAGAUGCUACAUGAAUGCUUCGUUCCUGGACAAGGCAAAGAAAUGUCUACCACGGAGUGUAAACCUGAAAACGAAGACCUGCCUGAGCGAGGAACAGUACUUACUGGAAUAUG